rnacentral:rRNA from 1 species
AUGAUUGUGGAAUUGGGAGGAGGUACACAAAUAUACUCAGAUGCAGCUUGGUCGUUGGAGCCAGGACAAGCUAUAGCAAAGGCGGACAUAGGUGUUUUCUUAAAAAUUAACGGGCAACAUACCGAACAUGUAUACAUCUCUACUGUGUCGCCACCAGUAGCAUCAGCUCUGCAGGUAGAGGCUUAUGGACUGCUAUUGGCGGUGAAGAUUGCAGCUCAACUACAUGUGCAAGAUCCGAAGUUUUUGACAGACUAUGCCGUGCUUGCCUCAGCUGUUGUAGAACCUGAUGUUACUAAAGCAGGUCCGUGGGCUAUCCGGCCAAUCUUAGCUGCUAUCCAGACCACACCGUCAUUUCAUCCAUGCAGAAUACUCAAAGUGCACAUGAGUCUGAAUCUCAAGGCACACCAUCAGGCUAGACUUGCUGUCAAAGUGCAAGAUAAACCUUUCAGCUCUACUUGCCUACAUUCAGAUCAAGGUUUAGAUACUAAUCUGGAACAAUGUCCUACCUAUAUUGAGCUAUCAGCAAUGAGUGCUCAGCCACUCGAGCUGCUAUUUGUAAAGUGUGCUUAA